GCGCAGCAGGCGCGAAUUUUGGGCAAUGGCCGAAAGGCUGACCCAGCGACGCUGCGUGUGGGAUGAAGCCCUUCGGGGCGUAAACCACUUUUCAGAAGGACGAGGGUUCAUCCGGCGAAUACCCGGACGGAUUGACGGUACUUCUGGAAUAAGCUCUGGCUAACCCCGUGCCAGCAGCCGCGGUAAGACGGGGAGAGCAAGCGUUGCCCGGAAUCAUUGGGGCUUAAAGGGGGCGUAGGCGGUUAGGUGUGUCAGACGUGUAAACGUAUCGGCUCAACCGAUAGCCUGCGUUUGAAACUACCUAGCUCGAGGGCGAAAGAGGAGAGCGGAACUCCC
rnacentral:rRNA from 1 species